rnacentral:rRNA from 1 species
AGCAGCCGCGGUAAUUCCAGCUCCAAUAGCGUAUAUUAAAGUUGCUGCAGUUAAAAAGCUCGUAGUUGAAUUUCGGGACCAUUAUGUCGGUCGUGCCUCGGUACGUACUGGUAUCGUUGGUUUCUCCCUUCUGACGAACCAUGAUGUCAUUUAUUUGGUGUCGUGGGAAAUCAGGACUGUUACUUUGAAAAAUUAGAGUGUUUAAAGCAGGCUCACGCUUGAAUACAUUAGCAUGGAAUAAUGAAAUAGGACGUUUGAUUCUAUUUUGUUGGUUUCUAGGAUUGACGUAAUGAUUAAUAGGGAUAGUUGGGGGCAUUAGUAUUCAAUUGUCAGAGGUGAAAUUCUUGGAUUUAUUGAAGACUAACUACUGCGAAAGCAUUUGCCAAGGAUGUUUUCAUUAAUCAAGAACGAAAGUUAGGGGAUCGAAGACGAUCAGAUACCAUCGUAGUCUUAACCAUAAACUAUAGCCGACUAGGGAU